AACACAUCAGAUUUCCUGAUGUAACGAAUUUCAAGUGCUUCUUGCUUCAGCAAGUUUUCAUCCCGGCUCCCCGGCCGGGAUGCU
rfam:Beauveria bassiana D1-5 contig01171, whole genome shotgun sequence.